GAUACUCCACCUGAUGUGGAAGUUGUCAAACCAGAUCAGAAUGCCUUCGAAGUCCACUUUCAGGAUGGAUGUGGAGGUUUUUGACCAGGUGAGGCUGAACAUGGACCGGGUGCAUGAGAAAAAGGAGAGCCACCUGAGAAGAAUCAAGGGGACCAAGUGCUUCAACAUCUGGGUGAAUUACUUGGCUUGGAAGAAGGACGAAAGGAAGGCGAGACCCAGGAAAGACCAUCCCUUACCAACCCCACUGACAUCAAAAAUUAGACAGGACCUAGGGAUUCUGCCUAACACCCAGACAUGAUGUCCUCCAUUACCAACCACCCUCCAACUUUUCAUUACACCAGUUACUGUUAUUGUCAAGUUGUCAUUAUCUGCUAAGAAAGAGCAAAACAACUAUCAUACUAGGCACAUACUGUGAGGUGCACAGAUUAGCUAAAAACACGAGCACUGCAAACACUCAGAACAAAGAGAGCAGCAGCGCCUCCUUGAGUUCACUACCUGUUGAAAACAAGUGACAGGCAGAACCUCCCAUCCACACAAGACCCACCUCCUCUCUAUUCCGCACACCAUAAUUAUGUAUUUCAGUCUGAUUGCCAUGUGAGUGUACAAAAAAUCUGAAAGUAAAUUGACACAUGUACCAAAAAAAUAUCAAUGGUUAUGUUUUUAAAUCUAAAAUAUUGCUAGAUUGGUUUUCACAGCUGUUUCAUAAGGUGUUCGUUAUUGUAAAUUGUAACAUCUCUUGAUGGUAUUUGUUAGUUCAACAUAAUUAAUUGUAUCAUAAGACAUCCAAUAGAUAUAUAUUCAAACACAAGGGUGUACUAAUGAGCUAUGAUUUAAAAAAUAAUAAUUGUAUCAAUAUUGAGGACUAAAGUUAUUUCAGUGUAGGUAAGGGAAUGCCUGUUUAAAAUGAAUACAUGCCAGACAGACAAGCCAGUGUAUGAAUCAAAUGUA